rnacentral:rRNA from 1 species
GAUGAACGCUGGCGGCGUGCCUAAUACAUGCAAGUCGAGCGAACAGAUGAGGAGCUUGCUCCUCUGACGUUAGCGGCGGACGGGCGAGUAACACGUGGAUAACCUACCUAUAAGACUGGGAUAACUUCGGGAAACCGGAGCUAAUACCGGAUAAGAUAUUGAACCGCAUGGGUCAAUAGUGAAAGACGGCUUUGCUGUCACUUAUAGAUGGAUCCGCGCCGCAUUAGGUAGUUGGUACGGUAACGGCUUACCAAGGCUACGAUGCGUAGCCGAACUGUGAGGGUGGUCGGCCACCCUGGAGCUGAACCACGGUCCAGACUCCUACGAGAGGCAGCAGUAUGGAAUCUUCCGCAGUGGGCGAGAGCCUUGCGGAGCGACGCGGCGUGAGUGGCAGCGGCGUUCGGUGCGUGAAGCUCUGUUAUUAGGGAAGAACAACUGUCUAAGUAGCUAUGCACGUCUUGACGGUACCUAAUCAGGAAGCCACGGCUAACUACGUG